GGGGAUUUAGCUCAGUGGUAGAGCGCUUGCCUCGGAAGUGCAAGGCCCUGGGUUCGGUCCCCAGCUCCG
rnacentral:tRNA from 1 species